AGAAGGGAUGAGAUAAAGAAGGGAAGAGGUUGCAGGCAUAACUACGUGGAAGAACGUGCUUCCUAUGAGUUCCUCCUUUUCCCUUCUUACUCUCAUCCAUCAUCCUUGCUCACUUCACACCAUUACUGCACAAAUGUCGAACCUGCUUCUUCUACCUUCUCUUCCCCUCACCACUUCCCCUCACCGCUUUCAAACUUUUUCUUCCGCUUCUCCUCUUCAAUUCCAAUGCCGAUUCUCGCUUUCUCUCCUCUCUCCUCCUCACCACUCUCUCUCUCCCUUCCGCUCCCACGCGCGCAGAAGAGAACCUUCCCUUCGCGUUUUCGAUUCCUCUUCCGAGGCCA
rnacentral:lncRNA from 1 species